rnacentral:rRNA from 1 species
UACAGAGACUGCAAGCGUUAUUCGGAUUCACUGGGCGUAAAGGGUGCGCAGGCGGCCGUGUGUGUCAGGUGUGAAAGCCCGGAGCUUAACUCCGGAAUUGCGCCUGAAACUACAUGGCUAGAGCAUUGGAGAGGGUAGCGGAAUUCACGGUGUAGCAGUGAAAUGCGUAGAUAUCGUGAGGAACACCAGAGGCGAAGGCAGCUACCUGGACAAUUGCUGACGCUCAGGCACGAAAGCGUGUGGAGCAAAAGGG